rnacentral:rRNA from 1 species
AUUGAACGCUGGCGGCAGGCCUAACACAUGCAAGUCGAGCGGAUGAGGGGAGCUUGCUCCUGGAUUCAGCGGCGGACGGGUGAGUAAUGCCUAGGAAUCUGCCUGGUAGUGGGGGAUAACGUCCGGAAACGGGCGCUAAUACCGCAUACGUCCUGAGGGAGAAAGUGGGGGAUCUUCGGACCUCACGCUAUCAGAUGAGCCUAGGUCGGAUUAGCUAGUUGGUGGGGUAAAGGCCUACCAAGGCGACGAUCCGUAACUGGUCUGAGAGGAUGAUCAGUCACACUGGAACUGAGACACGGUCCAGACUCCUACGGGAGGCAGCAGUGGGGAAUAUUGGACAAUGGGCGAAAGCCUGAUCCAGCCAUGCCGCGUGUGCGAAGAAGGUCUUCGGAUUGUAAAGCACUUUAAGUUGGGAGGAAGGGCAGUAAGUUAAUACCUUGCUGUUUUGACGUUACCAACAGGAUAAGCACCGGCUAACUUCGUG